UGGGGAAUUUUGGACAAUGGGCGCAAGCCUGAUCCAGCCAUGCCGCGUGCGGGAAGAAGGCCUUCGGGUUGUAAACCGCUUUUGUCAGGGAAGAAAUCUUCUGAGUUAAUACCUCGGGAGGAUGACGGCACCUGAAGAAUAAGCACCGGCUAACUACGUGCCAGCAGCCGCGGUAAUACGUAGGGUGCAAGCGUUAAUCGGAAUUACUGGGCGUAAAGCGUGCGCAGGCGGUUUUGUAAGACAGAGGUGAAAUCCCCGGGCUCAACCUGGGAACUGCCUUUGUGACUGCAAGGCUUGAGUGCGGCAGAGGGGGAUGGAAUUCCGCGUGUAGCAGUGAAAUGCGUAGAUAUGCGGAGGAACACCGAUGGCGAAGGCAAUCCCCUGGGCCUGCACUGACGCUCAUGCACGAAAGCGUGGGGAGCAAACAGGAUUAGAUACCCUGGUAGUCCACGCCCUAAACGAUGUCAACUGGUUGUUGGGAAGGUUCCUUCUCAGUAACGUAGCUAACGCGUGAAGUUGACCGCCUGGGGAGUACGGCCGCAAGGUUGAAACUUAAAGGAAUUGA
rnacentral:rRNA from 1 species